rnacentral:rRNA from 1 species
GACAGCAGCCGCCGCGGGAAUACAGAGGGUGCGAGCGUUAAUCGGAUUUACUGGGCGUAAAGCGUGCGUAGGCGGCUUCUUAAGUCGGAUGUGAAAUCCCUGAGCUUAACUUAGGAAUUGCAUUCGAUACUGGGAAGCUAGAGUAUGGGAGAGGAUGGUAGAAUUCCAGGUGUAGCGGUGAAAUGCGUAGAGAUCUGGAGGAAUACCGAUGGCGAAGGCAGCCAUCUGGCCUAAUACUGACGCUGAGGUACGAAAGCAUGGGGAGCAAACAGGAUUAGAGACCCGAGUAGUCCCUGUCUCUUAUCA